GGGGUUAUGGCUCAGUUGGUAGAGCGCCUCGUUCGCAACGAGGAGGCCAGCGGUUCGAAUCCGCUUAGCUCCACCA
rnacentral:tRNA from 2 species